GACGAACGCUGGCGGCGUGCCUAAUACAUGCAAGUAGAACGCUGAAGGAGGAGCUUGCUUCUCUGGAUGAGUUGCGAACGGGUGAGUAACGCGUAGGUAACCUGCCUGGUAGCGGGGGAUAACUAUUGGAAACGAUAGCUAAUACCGCAUAAGAGUAGAUGUUGCAUGACAUUUGCUUAAAAGGUGCAAUUGCAUCACUACCAGAUGGACCUGCGUUGUAUUAGCUAGUUGGUGAGGUAACGGCUCACCAAGGCAACGAUACAUAGCCGACCGGAGAGGGGGAUCGGCCACACUGGGACUGAGACACGGCCCAGACUCCUACGGGAGGCAGCAGUAGGGAAUCUUCGGCAAUGGACGGAAGUCUGACCGAGCAACGCCGCGUGAGUGAAGAAGGUUUUCGGAUCGUAAAGCUCGGUUGUAAGAGAAGAACGAGUGUGAGAGUGGAAAGUUCACACUGUGACGGUAUCUUACCAGAAAGGGACGGCUAACUACGUG
rnacentral:rRNA from 1 species